AUGCCCUCUGAGGCCUUUCUGCCCCAACACUGGGCGGCUACCCUAACCCACCGAGGCAUCCCACAACACUCAGGAAUUGCAGCUGAUAAAGUGGGGCUGGGGGCAUGCCAGGGCGCCCAGAGGCAAGGUGAGUCCCUCUGCUCAGUCUCACUGACCAACUUGUCACAUCCCUCUGCAUCCCGGAGCCACGCUUCAUUCCCGAGAACUCGUACCAUUAACUUAUCCAACGUGAACAAGGCGAAGGUGCCCAGCUGUCACAGCGGCUCCGCGCACGCCGGCAGACGAAGAAGGGCCCCGGUCCCCAGGAGCUGGUCCCAGCCCGCAGCCUGGCAGCCUGCUUCGCGGACUUCCCUACACCCGGCGCGGACCUCCAGCCGCCAGCAGCCAGCAACCCAGCCCCAUCCUUCCUCGCCUAUACCCGCUGUCCCAGCCGCGCUAGCCGGCCCCGGGCGCAGGGCGGGCAGGCAACAUGGGCACCGGGACCGCGACGGGGCAGUCAAGCAGCUGUGCCCAGGACCCGGGCGGCUCCGAAGCCUCAACACGUACACACUCGAGCGCACGCCGGCCAAUCGGUUGCCUGGAGGAGUCGGGAAGGCGCUUCCAGGGCUCUUCAUUCAUUCAUUCUCCCAAAGGCAAGGUUCCCUUCGCCCCGGCGCCUCCAUCCUGCCAUCCCAAGGGGCCAAUUGCGCCACAGCCCGCCACCCAGCCACCCACAGCCACCGCGUCCUAUCCCCCGGCACACACAACCCAAGAGACUCGCAUUUCAUCUCCACUGCCAGAGUCGCCUCCGCGCCCGGGCCGCUACCACCUGGCUCCCCAGCUUCGCCGCCCCGCAGCCCUGGAUCCCCGCCUCCGGCCCCACCGCGCGGCUCAGACCUGCCUCGCUCGGGUCGCCGCACCCAGGCCGGCCAGGGACGCCGCCGCCACUGCUGGGAAGCGCCGGCAACUCCCGAGUCACGCCGCCUCCCGAGACGCGGCGGGGCGCAGGGAGGGGACAGCAGUGGGGGCGGGGCGGGGAGGAGGAAGAAGGAGGGGGCGGGGAGCAAAAGUUCACACCGCUCGGGGCUCAGCCGCGCCCCAAUCUCUUCCCAGGCCCGCCCCCGCCAUCUCCCUCCCAGAACCCGGUCCCACGGGCGUAGGCGCCGGAGAGCUCUGGCCUCGCAGCCCGGAACGGCCGCAACGCUAGAGCCGGGGUUCUGGAAGCGUAUCCGAGCUGGAGACCGGGGAGAGAGUGGCUGA
rnacentral:lncRNA from 1 species